CAAGGCUACUAUUCCUUUGCUACCAGGAAGUGAAUACCCAACAUCCAGAAUGUGAAACAGAAGAAAGCUGUAGGAUUGAGGAACAGCAAAGAAGAGGAUGUGAAGUAGAAUCACAAAAGGCUGAGAAAGAGAAGGAGACUUGUGUACACCUUGAUAUGGAAUGGAAGAAUAUCAUUUUCUCUUUUUCUUGGCCUCCAGAAAAGAAAACCCAGUUCAAUCUGUGUAACCCAAAGGAUGAGAGUUAAAUCCAAUCAUGACAAGAAGGAUGAAGAGAAUACAGUUGAAAUCCUUUACUCUAAAGUCAUCACCACCCAUUUAGUAAUGCAUAAUUCCACGCCUUUCUUCUUUUGACUACCGUUGCUGCAACAC
rnacentral:lncRNA from 1 species